CGGUGUAAGGUUUCCCUUUGCUCAUGUCAGCUUCAAAGGAUCUAUCUUUAGCAAGCGGUCCCCAAAGACAAUGGAGCUGAUGACGUUGGAGACUGUUCUGCUCAGGUAGAAGCCAGACGGAAUGCACAGGCCUUGCCCUUCCGGAUGUACCCCCUCUCCCUCCCGCCCCUCACUCCGGCGUCUCCAGCUCACCGCGC